AUUGAACGCUGGCGGCAGGCCUAACACACGCCAGUCGAGCGGAUGAAGGGAGCUUGCUCCUGGAUUCAGCGGCGGACGGGUGAGUAAUGCCUAGGAAUCUGCCUGGUAGUGGGGGAUAACGUCCGGAAACGGGCGCUAAUACCGCAUACGUCCUGAGGGAGAAAGUGGGGGACCUUCGGACCUCACGCUAUCAGAUGAGCCUAGGUCGGAUUAGCUAGUUGGUGGGGUAAAGGCCUACCAAGGCGACGAUCCGUAACUGGUCUGAGAGGAUGAUCAGUCACACUGGAACUGAGACACGGUCCAGACUCCUACGGGAGGCAGCAGUGGGGAAUAUUGGACAAUGGGCGAAAGCCUGAUCCAGCCAUGCCGCGUGUGUGAAGAAGGUCUUCGGAUUGUAAAGCACUUUAAGUUGGGAGGAAGGGCAGUAAGUUAAUACCUUGCUGUUUUGACGUUACCAACAGAAUAAGCACCGGCUAACUUCGUG
rnacentral:rRNA from 1 species